rnacentral:rRNA from 1 species
CCGGUAGCUAAAUGCGGAAGAGAUAAGUGCUGAAAGCAUCUAAGCACGAAACUUGCCCCGAGAUGAGUUCUCCCUGAGACUAUAAGUCUCCUGAAGGAACGUUAAAGACGAUGACGUUGAUAGGCCGAGUGUGUAAGCGCAGCGAUGCGUUGAGCUAACCGGUACUAAUGAACCGUGAGGCUUAACCUUACAACGCCGAAG